AUCUGCUGCCAUACCAACGUGGGCUGCAAUCUUGUCACAUCUCUCAGUACAAGUAGGGAUGGGCCUGGUCAGUACUUGUAUGGGAGACUUCCAAGGAAAACCCAUGGUGUUAUAGGAA
ensembl:rRNA 5S_rRNA 5S ribosomal RNA